AAUUUAUAGGGACUAAAAUGAUCAAAAUAUCUUACUAGGACUAAAUUCAUAUUUAAGCCUUAAAAUAAUAUAGGUGUAUUGAAGUUUUAUUUUGUUUGGAGUAUAUUCCUAUGCGUGUCACUAGGUUAUUGUGAAUAUGCUUUUAGCUGCUGUUGAUAAUUUGCAAAUGCUAGUCUGAAAAAUAUUGCAGAGAUGCUUCUGCCUUUUGCUUUCCCAUUAUCUCCAUUGUCUUUUCCAUGCAUGAGUUUUUAAUCAUAUAUAUGCUAUAGAUGAUAAAUUCAAGUUAAUGAGACACAGCCUAACUGAUUAUGUAUUAUAUAUGCUAUUUGACCAUCAUUGCGUGAUUGUUAUUGGGAUCACUGGUCUUUAAACCUACGGUGUUACUAAAAUCCUCGACCAUACAUAUUGGACCUAGUCAUUCUUAAUGAUAAGGUUUGACACUGUAUUACAAGGUGGGACUAAGUGUGCAGCUAUCAGCAUCUAUAUUAUGGAUUUGGAUAUUUGAGCUGCAAACGGUCUCAGGCUCUCAGCAAUUCAAAUGAUUUUUUUUUAAAAUAAAAAUAUAUACAUAAAAAUUAGUGAGAAAACGGUGAGAUUUAUAAGUACUUUGUGCUGUUAAUUAAAGGACUAGAGGAUUUCAAUCGCUAGAUUAUCCAUGACCAUAAAGUUGGUCAUGACAAAUCCUGAGAUCUUAUUACUUCUACAAGGUAGGCUUAAAAGUAAUGCAACUAAACUUUAAGUUUGACGGUUACCAACAAAAAAUUAUGUUAUUAAUUUUUAGCAAAAAAGACCGCUAGUAAAAAGUCUAACAUAUAACUUUCUUAUAUAAAGUAAAAGAAGUCUAUUUUACAAUUUACUUUUGAUUUGUUGGGUUGGCCCGUACUUCUAUUAUUAUAAUGCUAAGGAUCAAUUGUCCAAAACUAAACAUUUCUAACAUAUGUUAUAAUGAUUACCAAAUCAUGUGCUAAUUGCCUCAGCUAUAGACGCAGGUAUUUAUGAUAAAAAAAUUUCUCUUACGCAAUAAUUAUAAUGAAAUAAAUAAAGGAUCAAAAAUAAUAUUGUCUAUAAAAUUUUGCUCACAGCUCCAACACUCAUUAUCAUUUUUUAUAUCUACAUUUCUCUUUCUUUUCUCCCUUUCUGUCUAUAAGUAGUAUUAAAUAAGAUUGGGUGGACUUUGACAUUUUGCCCUUUUCAAACUAGCUAGGAGUGUUGUUUCCUGCAUCUCCAACAAUUAUUUCUGCACCUGCAUUGAAUUACAGAAAAUCCAAUCCAAUUUCAAUUGUUGGAAGUGUAGGAAGUUUUAUCCAUUAGUGAAUUGCGAGAAUGCGAGCCCAGAAUAGUUUAGAGAAUUAGAGGAACACUAGAAUCUAAGGGUCAUUUGUCAUUGUCACCACCAACAUCAAUGUUGUUGUCAUCACCGCUAUCAUUGUCACUAUUGUCACUACUAUCGUUGCUACCACUAAUACCACCUUUGCUGCCACCAACACAGUUGGCAUCAAUACUACCACCAACACCGUUGGCAUCAAUACUACCACCACCACCAUCUUUUCUAUCGCCAUUGUCACCACACAACCACCAUUGGUAUCUAUGUCAUUACUACCAUCACCACCAUUAUCACUUCACACAAAAACAUUUUUAGAAUAAUUUUAAUAUAAUAUAAAACUUUCAAAGUAAGUUUAUUUUAAAAUUAAUCAUAUUUUAAAACUUGAUUUUAAAUUUUUUUAAAUUACAACUAAAAAUUUCAAAACUCAAAGUUAUGUUGUUAAGUUGACCAAUUGUACAGUUAAUAUUUUUAAGACCCUAGAAUUGAACAUGUUUCCAAAGUUUGUUUUUAAGAUUGCUAAUUGAUACAAAAUCAAACUUCAUAAAAUUGAUGAAAAAGUUAUAUUCUAUAUCAAAAUCACUCGGGAUUUUCGUCGAAGUCGUUGUUUUUGUUUUUUUCUAAAUUAUUAAUUAACCAGUAACCACUAUAAAAACAUAAUAAAUAAGUCAAUAUUUAAACAUUCCCCAUAAAGAAUUUAUGAUAUAGUCACAUCUCUGGUCAUAGCUAAUAGUUUCAUAUGUUUCUUAUUAUCUUUCAAUCUAAUUUUCUUAUAAGAAACCUUUAGAACUUAAUUUUGUUAUCUAAAUACUGUUUGAAGAAUGCUAAGUUCUUUGCUGUCUUUUGAGAGCUACUUUACCUCAAAGGAUGGCUAUGGUGGAUACUAGAUGUUCCUUGUCUUAUGUGUAACGCAAGUUAGUCAAAUUUUGAUUGUCCCAUCUCUACUAUGUUAACAUGUUAUGAUUUAUUUAGCCGAAUUCUUCAUUUAAUCUUCUCCUUAUCAAAGGGUUAGCUAUCAUAAAGUUUGUACUAAUAUGUUUUAUUAACACUUUUUGUUUUUGAACUUCUUCCUUCAUGACAAAGUACUUCAAUUCCAUAUGCUUAGCACCCUUAGAGUACUUGUUGAUCUUAGAGAAAAAUAUUACUGCAAAGUUAUCUCAAUACAUUUUCAACAGCCUAGCAAUACUAUCGAUAAUUUCAAGCCCUGAAAGAAAGUUUCAUAGCCAAUUAGCCUGAACUGUAGCCUCAAAACAUGCUACAAAUUCAGCUUUCAUGGUAGAUGCAACAACAACUGAUUAUUUUGAACUUUUCCAUGAUAUUGCUCCUCCGGCUAAAAGAAAUACAUAGCCAAGAGUGGAUUUUCUCGUAUCCAUGUAUCCAGCAAAGUUUGAGUCUGAAUACUCAAACACCUCAAGAUGACCAAACCUCCUAUAUGUAAGCAUGUGAUCUUUCAUUCCUUGUAAGUAUCUUAGAACUUUCUUUGCAGUUUUCCAAUGUUCAAUUCCUGGAUUUCUUUGAUAUCUUCCUAACAUUCCAAUUGCAAAGCUUAUGUAUGGUCAAGUACAUAUCUGAGCAUACAUAAUAUUCCCAACAACUGAUGCAUAUGGAAUUACUUUCAUUUGUUUUCAUUCUAGAUCAUAUCUAGGACAUUGUGCAAGACUACAUUUGUCUCAUUUAUGAAUUAGAACGAGUGAUGUUGAACAUUUUUCCAUCCUGAAUCUCUACAAUAAUUUAUUGAUAUAUGUUUUUUGAGACAAGCCUAACAAUCAUUGUGAUCUAUUUCAGAAUAUUUCUAUCCCUAUCACAUAGUUUGCCUCGCCCAUAUCUUUCAUUUCAAAGUUGCUAGAGAGACCAAGAUCAUGAAGAAGACCAUGAUCAUUAGUUGCAAUUCAAAAGGUGUUUGCAAAAAUGCCUUACUAGGAACCUUAUUCAACAAAUACAUGACAAUUUUCAAGGCAUACAUCCACAAAGAUACGGGUAAGGUUGAAUUGCUUAACUCAACUGUUUGCAGAAAUGACCAUUUUGUUGUGGUGUACUAGACAUUAUGUAUUGUGCACAAACACCACGUUUCUGAAGGAGUUUAGCAAAUGGACAUGGGUGUUGCCUAGUUUCAUCGUAUCUUUCGUAAUACUCACCACCUCUAUAAGACCUAACAACUUUCACAUUUCUGACUAA